rnacentral:rRNA from 1 species
AUAGCGGAGGAAAGAAACCAACAGGGAUUGCUCUAGUAACGGCGAGUGAAGCAGCAAUAGCUCAAAUUUGAAAUCUGCCUACGGGCCGAGUUGUAAUUUGUAGAGGAAGCUUUGGGUACCGCUCUUUCUAAGUCCCCUGGAACGGGGCGCCAAAGAGGGUGAGAGCCCCGUAUAGUAAGAAGCCUAGCCUGUGUAAAGCUCCUUCGACGAGUCGAGUAGUUUGGGAAUGCUGCUCUAAAUUGGAGGUAAAUUCCUUCUAAAGCUAAAUACCUGUCAGAGACCGAUAGCGCACAAGUAGAGUGAUCGAAAGAUGAAAAGCACUUUGAAAAGAGAGUUAAACAGCACGUGAAAUUGUUGAAAGGGAAGCGCCUAUAACUAGACUUGCGCUAGAUCGAUCUCCUGUCGUUUUCGGCAGUGUACUCGGUCUAGCCCAGGCCAGCGUCAGUCCUUGUAGCAGGAUAAAAGCCUUUGGAAUGUGACUCCCUCGGGAGUGUUAUAGCCUUGGGCAUAAUAUUGCUGUAGGAACUGAGGAUCGCGCCUUGCGAGGACGCUGGCGUAAUAGUUAUCAGCGACCCGUCUUGAAACACGGACCAAGGAGUCAAGGUUUUACGCAAGUGUUUGGGUGUUAAACCCGCACGCGCAAUGAAAGUGAACGUAGGUGAGAGCCUUGAGGCGCAUCACCGACCGAUCCUGAUGUAUUCGGAUGGAUUUGAGUAGUAGCGUAGUGCCUUGGACCCGAAAGAUGGUGAACUAUGCUUGGAUAGGGUGAAGCCAGAGGAAACUCUGGUGGAGGCUCGCAGCGGUUCUGACGUGCAAAUCGAUCGUCAAAUCUGAGCAUGGGGGCGAAAGACUAAUCGAACCAUCUAUAGCU